UGGGAACGUACCUUUCGGUUCGGAAUAACUCAGGGAAACUUGUGCUAAUACCGGAUACGCCUUUACGGGGAAAGAUUUAUCGCCGAAAGAUCGGCCCGCGUCUGAUUAGCUUGUUGGUGAGGUAACGGCUCACCAAGGCGACGACGGGUAGCCGGCCUGAGAGGGUGACCGGCCACACUGGGACUGAGACACGGCCCAGACUUCUACGGGAGGCAG
rnacentral:rRNA from 1 species